rnacentral:misc_RNA from 1 species
UUGAUUCUCCAAUAAAUUAGUUAUAAAUAUUACUGAAAUUAGUUUCUUUUUUCGAUUUACAUUUUGUUGUUCCCAUUUUUUAUUUUAUUUUAUAUUAUAUUACUUUUUUCAGGAAUUUUUUUUGUAGUUCUUUUUGAUAUUCCUAUUUGCUGAGAUUUUGUUUUCCUUUUUCUACUUGCAUUUUCUUAUUUUAUGUUUUUCUAAAUUAUUUUAAUUAUUCUAUAAUGGACAAAGGCAUGCUAAUUGGUUUUUAGCAAUUUACAUUUGGGUUGGUCACACCCCAAAUUUCGUAAUAUGUUCCAUUUUAUUUGUUUUAAUUGAUUAAGUGACAAUAUUAUCCACACUUUAAAUGGUUUACUAACGAGGAAGCGUAGAUAUUUUGUCAUUUAAUCGAAUAAAAAACAUAGAAGGGAGUGAAUGUAAGAAAUUUGGACCUUGAACAUCAACACCUUUUUCAAUUUUGAUUUUCGCUUCUCUUCUUCCUUUUGUAAUU